rnacentral:rRNA from 1 species
GACGAACGCUGGCGGCGUGCUUAACACAUGCAAGUCGAACGGAAAGGCCCUGCUUUUGUGGGGUGCUCGAGUGGCGAACGGGUGAGUAACACGUGAGUAACCUGCCCUUGACUUUGGGAUAACUUCAGGAAACUGGGGCUAAUACCGGAUAGGAGCUCCUGCUGCAUGGUGGUGGUUGGAAAGUUUCGGCGGUUGGGGAUGGACUCGCGGCUUAUCAGCUUGUUGGUGGGGUAGUGGCUUACCAAGGCUUUGACGGGUAGCCGGCCUGAGAGGGUGACCGGCCACAUUGGGACUGAGAUACGGACCAGACUCCUACGGGAGGCAGCAGUGGGGAAUAUUGCACAAUGGGCGGAAGCCUGAUGCAGCAACGCCGCGUGCGGGAUGACGGCCUUCGGGUUGUAAACCGCUUUCGCCUGUGACGAAGCGUGAGUGACGGUAAUGGGUAAAGAAGCACCGGCUAACUACGUG